rnacentral:rRNA from 1 species
GAUGAACGCUGGCGGCGUGCCUAAUACAUGCAAGUCGAGCGAACGGACGAGAAGCUUGCUUCUCUGAUGUUAGCGGCGGACGGGUGAGUAACACGUGGAUAACCUACCUAUAAGACUGGGAUAACUUCGGGGAACCGGAGCUAAUACCGGAUAAUAUUUUGAACCGCAUGGUUCAAAAGCGAAAGACGGCCUUGCUGUCACUUAUAGAUGGAUCCGCGCUGCAUUAGCUAGUUGGUAAGGUAACGGCUUACCAAGGCAACGAUGCAUAGCCGACCUGAGAGGGUGACCGGCCACACUGGAACUGAGACACGGUCCAGACUCCUACGGGAGGCAGCAGUAGGGAAUCUUCCGCAAUGGGCGAAAGCCUGACGGAGCAACGCCGCGUGAGUGAUGAAGGUCUUCGGAUCGUAAAACUCUGUUAUUAGGGAAGAACAUAUGUGUAAGUAACUGUGCACAUCUUGACGGUACCUAAUCAGAAAGCCACGGCUAACUACGUGCCAGCAGCCGCGGUAAUACGUAGGUGGCAAGCGUUACCCGGAAUUAUUGGGCGUAAAGCGCGCGUAGGCGGUUUUUUAAGUCUGAUGUGAAAGCCCACGGCUCAACCGUGGAGGGUCAUUGGAAACUGGAAAACUUGAGUGCAGAAGAGGAAAGUGGAAUUCCAUGUGUAGCGGUGAAAUGCGCAGAGAUAUGGAGGAACACCAGUGGCGAAGGCGACUUUCUGGUCUGUAACUGACGCUGAUGUGCGAAAGCGUGGGGAUCAAACAGGAUUAGAUACCCUGGUAGUCCACGCCGUAAACGAUGAGUGCUAAGUGUUAGGGGGUUUCCGCCCCUUAGUGCUGCAGCUAACGCAUUAAGCACUCCGCCUGGGGAGUACGACCGCAAGGUUGAAACUCAAAGGAAUUGACGGGGACCCGUACAAGCGGUGGAGCAUGUGGUUUAAUUCGAAGCAACGCGAAGAACCUUACCAAAUCUUGACAUCCUUUGACAACUCUAGAGAUAGAGCCUUCCCCUUCGGGGGACAAAGUGACAGGUGGUGCAUGGUUGUCGUCAGCUCGUGUCGUGAGAUGUUGGGUUAAGUCCCGCAACGAGCGCAACCCUUAAGCUUAGUUGCCAUCAUUAAGUUGGGCACUCUAAGUUGACUGCCGGUGACAAACCGGAGGAAGGUGGGGAUGACGUCAAAUCAUCAUGCCCCUUAUGAUUUGGGCUACACACGUGCUACAAUGGACAAUACAAAGGGCAGCGAAACCGCGAGGUCAAGCAAAUCCCAUAAAGUUGUUCUCAGUUCGGAUUGUAGUCUGCAACUCGACUACAUGAAGCUGGAAUCGCUAGUAAUCGUAGAUCAGCAUGCUACGGUGAAUACGUUCCCGGGUCU